rnacentral:rRNA from 1 species
AUUGAACGCUGGCGGCAGGCCUAACACAUGCAAGUCGAGCGGAUGAAGGGAGCUUGCUCCUGGAUUCAGCGGCGGACGGGUGAGUAAUGCCUAGGAAUCUGCCUGGUAGUGGGGGAUAACGUCCGGAAACGGGCGCUAAUACCGCAUACGUCCUGAGGGAGAAAGUGGGGGAUCUUCGGACCUCACGCUAUCAGAUGAGCCUAGGUCGGAUUAGCUAGUUGGUGGGGUAAAGGCCCACCAAGGCGACGAUCCGUAACUGGUCUGAGAGGAUGAUCAGUCACACUGGAACUGAGACACGGUCCAGACUCCUACGGGAGGCAGCAGUGGGGAAUAUUGGACAAUGGGCGAAAGCCUGAUCCAGCCAUGCCGCGUGUGUGAAGAAGGUCUUCGGAUUGUAAAGCACUUUAAGUUGGGAGGAAGGGCAGUAAGUUAAUACCUUGCUGUUUUGACGUUACCAACAGAAUAAGCACCGGCUAACUCCGUG